AUUUAGCCUCGAUUGAACGGCCUGUCUGAGCUCUUUUAAUUGGUUUUUGCGCGGCGGCAAAGCCGCCGCGCAAAAACCAAUUAAAAAGCGAGUAGUGAAAGCGAGAUUAAGC
rnacentral:misc_RNA from 1 species